AUGUUUGGUAGAGCGUACCUAGUCUGGGAGGCGGCUGCUGCUGGAGCAGGGACCUGCUGCUGGCCCUCAUGCUGCCGUGGGCCGUCGUGGUGGUCACCUGCAGCAGGAAAAAAUGUUGAGAUCCGAGGGCAAAAAGGGUGUGCAUUGCAUUUGCAUGCGUGUUUGAUUGUGCAGUUUGCUUACCAGCGGAUCAGAAGCAGAAGAGGAAGCAGCAGCAGGCUGAAGAUGUGCGGCGAGGAGGAGCAACAGCAGCAGAGGAGGAAGGAGACGGCGACGAGUGAGAAGCCGCUGCUGGGUCGGCGCCAUGGAUGCUGGCUUGAGCUCUGCAAGUGGCAAGUGGGAGGGGUUUGCAAGGGUUCUACCUAUAGGCGAGAGAGAGAGAGAGAGAGAUCCAGGAGGAGUUGUCGCUUAUGUAAUAAUGCAGUGAUACCAGUGCAGCGCAGACAGCCGACAGAGGAAGCAGAGCAAGGUGCAGUGUAG
rnacentral:rRNA from 1 species